rnacentral:snRNA from 1 species
AGCUUUGCACAGUGGCAGUAUCGUAGCCAAUGAGGUUUAUCUGAGGCGCGAUUAUUGCUGAUUAUUGCUAAUUGAAGAAUGAAUGAGCAGUGCUUCCUUCACUGCAAUGUCAGGUUACGUAUCAGCUGCCACCCACAUAUG